GACGAACGCUGGCGGCAUGCCUAAUACAUGCAAGUCGAGCGAACAGAUGAAGUGCUUGCACUUCUGACGUUAGCGGCGAACGGGUGAGUAACACGUAAGGAAUCUACCUAUAAGCGGGGGAUAACAUUCGGAAACGGGUGCUAAUACCGCAUAAUAUCUUCUUCCGCAUGGAAGAAGAUUGAAAGACGGCUCUGCUGUCACUUAUAGAUGACCUUGCGGUGCAUUAGUUAGUUGGUGGGGUAACGGCCUACCAAGACGAUGAUGCAUAGCCGACCGGAGAGGGUGAACGGCCACAUUGGGACUGAGACACGGCCCAAACUCCUACGGGAGGCAGCAGUAGGGAAUCUUCCGCAAUGGGCGAAAGCCUGACGGAGCAAUGCCGCGUGAGUGAAGAAGGCCUUCGGGUCGUAAAACUCUGUUAUAAGAGAAGAACAAAUUGUAGAGUAACUGCUACAGUCUUGACGGUAUCUUAUCAGAAAGCCACGGCUAACUACGUGCCAGCAGCCGCCGUAA
rnacentral:rRNA from 1 species